GGUGAACCUGCGGAGGGAUCAUUACUGAGUACUACACUCUCUACCCUUUGUGAACUAUUAUACCUGUUGCUUCGGCGGCGCCCGCAAGGGUGCCCGCCGGUCUCAUCAGAAUCUCUGUUUUCGAACCCGACGAUACUUCUGAGUGUUCUUAGCGAACUGUCAAAACUUUUAACAACGGAUCUCUUGGCUCCAGCAUCGAUGAAGAACGCAGCGAAACGCGAUAUGUAAUGUGAAUUGCAGAAUUCAGUGAAUCAUCGAAUCUUUGAACGCACAUGGCGCCUUCCAGUAUCCUGGGAGGCAUGCCUGUCCGAGCGUCGUUUCAACCCUCGAGCCCCUGUGGCCCGGCGUUGGGGAUCUGCCACGGCAGGCCCCUAAAACCAGUGGCGGACCCGAAGGCCCUCUCCUUUGCGCAGUAGCAUCAGCCUCGCAUUGGGAUCCCUCGGCGUCCUGCCUCUAAACCCCCCACAAGUCCGCUCCGGCGGCACCAAGGUGACCUCGGAUCAGGUAGGAUGCCCACUU
rnacentral:rRNA from 1 species